CAGCUGGAUCUGCAUAUGAAGGAAAUGAAAUAUCUUAGUUGAGAAAAGCUCUGCUGCUAAUUGCUUCUAAUCAUUUGGUUUCUGACUAAAUUCUACUUCUAAGGCUCUUAUUUAAACCAAAGAAAAUAUGGCUGCUGCUAUUGUGGGAGGGUCAUUACUCUCUGCUUCUGUUCAGGUGGUGUUGGAUAAGAUCAUUUCCAAUGAGUUCUUGGACUUCUUUAGGAGAAGGAAGCUUAAUGUUUCACUUGUUGGAAAGAUGAAGAUGACAUUGCUGAGUGUUCAAGCUGUUCUAAAUGAUGCUGAGGAGAAGCAGAUCACAAAUCCUGCUGUCAAGGAAUGGCUGAAUGAGCUCACACAAGCUGUCUUUGAUGCUGAAGAUUUGUUGGAUGAAAUCAACACUGAGGCUCUUGGAUGCAAAGUGAAAGCCAGGUAUCAAAGUCCAUCGUGCAGUGCCAAGGUGCGAAAUGUCUUUUCCUCUCGUUUCGGACGAUCAUAUGGUGUGAUCAAUUCUAAAAUGCAGACAUUAUUUGAAAGACUAGAGCACUUUGCACAGCAAAUACACAUCCUUCAACUGAAAGAAGGUGUUUCCAACAGUGUUUGGCAAGGGAUGCCCACAAGUUCUGUGGUCGACGAAUCUGUCAUUUAUGGAAGAGAUGAUGAGAGAAAGAAACUUAGAGAGUAUUUGCUGUCAGAAGAUGUUGGUGCUAGUGGCAAUAAAAUAGGAGUGAUUUCAAUUGUCGGCAUGGGAGGGAUUGGAAAAACAACCAUUGCUAAACUCCUAUACAAUGAUGAUGAAGUUAAAGACAAGUUUGAUUUAAAAGCAUGGGCAUGUGUUUCAAAGGAUUUUGAUGUUUUCAGGGUCACUAAGACUGUGCUUGAAUCGGUUACCUCAAAAACAACAAAUACUGAUAACUUGAAUACUCUGCAAGUGGAAUUGCAGCAAAGGUUGUGGCGGAAAAGAUUUUUGCUAGUGUUGGAUGACAUUCGCGGCACAAGCUAUGUUGAUUGGGCCAAUCUAAAGGAUAUUUUUAAUGCUGGAGAAAUGGGAAGUACAAUCAUUGUCACAACACGAGAUGAAAACGUUGCAAAAGCUAUGCAAACCUUUCCUAUCUUCCAUUUGACAUCUCUUGAUAGUGAAGAUUGCUGGUCUUUACUUGCUGAACACGCAUUUGGAGCAAAUAAUUCCAGUGAACGGUCCAACCUAGAAGGAAUUGGAAGAGAAAUUGUGAAAAAAUGUGAUGGUUUGCCUUUAGCUGCAGUUGCAUUGGGGGGUCUUCUUCGCACCAAAUUGUCGAAAAAUGAUUGGAAUAAGGUACUUAGAAGUAACAUUUGGGAUCUGCCAAAUUUGAAUGUGCAACCUGCUCUGCUACUAAGCUAUCAUUUCCUUCCGGCUACUUUGAAACGUUGCUUUGCUUACUGUUCAAUUUUUCCAAAGAACUCAGCCUUAGAAAAAGAGAUGGUAGUUCGGCUAUGGAUCGCAGAAGGCUUAGUACAUGUGUCAAAAAGUAAGAAAAUCCUGGAAGAAGUUGGUGACGAAUACUUUGAUGAACUAGUAUCAAGGUCACUAAUUCGUCGACGGUCCAUGGAUGGGAAAAGCUUCGAAAUGCAUGACCUCAUCAAUGAUUUAGCUGCAAUGGUUUCAUCUGCUUAUUGUAUCAGGUAUGAGGAUCAAAAGGCACUUGAAAAUCCGAAAAAAGUUCGACAUUUGUCAUACAACAGAAGUUGGUAUGACUAUUUCAAUAAAUUUAAUUCCUUUUAUGGUUUAGAAGGCCUGCGCACCUUCCUUCCCUUACCAUUGAAUGGAUGGUCAUUUGACUAUUACCUAUCAAACAAGGUAAUAUAUGACUUGUUGCCCAAGUUAAAACAGUUGCGGGUAUUAUCUUUGUCACACUACAAGAAUAUCUCUGAGUUACCAGACUCCAUUGGAGGUUUAAAACAUUUGCGGCAUCUAGAUCUCUCUGGCACUAACAUUAAAAGGUUGCCUUCUGUGAUUUGCAAGCUCUACAAUCUACAGACCUUGCUGUUGUCUGAUUGUAAGUUUCUCACUGAAUUACCUGAGGAGAUAGGAAUGUUGGUGAAUCUUCGCCACCUCGACAUUAGUGGAACUCAAUUGCAGGAGAUACCGGCACAAAUAGCAAGACUAGAAAAUCUCCAAACUUUAUCUGGGUUUGUUGUUAGCAGACAGCAAAAUGGAUUGAAGGUGGGAGAAUUGCAAAAAUUUCCCAAUUUGCAGGGGAAGCUCUGCAUUUCAAAGCUACAAAACAUUGUCGACCCUUGUGAUGCUUCACAAGCCAAUAUGAAGAAGAAAGAACAAAUUGAAGAUCUAUCAUUAGAAUGGGAUAGCUGCACUGCUCAAGAGUCCCAACAUCUUGUAUUGGAGCACCUGCAGCCUUCAACAAACUUGAAGAAACUAACCAUCAAAUUCUAUGGUGGAACCUGGUUUCCCAACUGGUUAGGUAAUUCCUCAUUUGCAAACAUGGUGUAUUUGUGCAUCCGAAGUUGUCACUAUUGUUCAUUACUACCACCUGUUGGACAGCUUCAUAAUCUUAAAGAACUCAUCAUAUUUGAUAUUAUCUCAGUGAAGACUAUUGGUCCUGAAUUUUAUGGAUGCUGUUCUCCUUCAUUUCAACCAUUUCCCUCCUUGGAGACACUGAGUUUUGGAGAGAUGCCGGCGUGGGAGGAAUGGAACUUCAUGGGUGGUAUAGCUACACACUUCCCUCGUCUUUCUCAUCUGUCUCUAAGCGAUUGUCCGAAACUCAAAGGAAAUUUACCCAGCAACCUUCCUUCCUUGACUAAACUUCAUUUGUCCAGUUGUUCUCUACUUGAGUCACAAUUUUCUGUUGAACUGGAUAACAGAAACAUUAUCAAUGCAUCAAAUCUAUUCAGUGAAUUAAUGCUUGGUCUUAAUUCUCUUGAACAAUUACAUAUCGAAGGCAUUCCUUCUCGGACCGCCUUCCCUAGAGAUGGUCUGCCGGAAACGUUAAGAGUUCUGUUCCUCAAAAAUUGUGAGAACUUUGAAUUUCCAAAUCAUGAAUCCCUGCGUAGUUACACGGCACUUGAAUCUUUGACAAUAUGGAAUAGUUGUUGCUCACUGACAUCAUUUCCCUUAGGCUCUCUCCCUGUGCUCAAGUGGCUCUACUUUAUAGAAUGUAAGAAUCUGAAAUCAUUUUCAAUUUCAGAAGAAGAAGAUGCACUCCAGUGUCUCACAUUUCUUCAAGGUUUCUACAUUCUAGAAUGUCCUGAACUUGAAUCAUUUCCUCAUCUUGGAUUGCCGACUCCUAAGCUCAGACGUUUUUGGGUGUCAUAUUGCAACAAGCUUAAUUCACUACCAGAACCGGUUAAUGCUCUUGUUGGCCUUCAAGAAUUGACAGUUCUUAACCUCCCAAGUAUGCAAUUUUUUGCAAAUGAAGGUCUUCCUAUCAGUUUGCGAACACUUCGAAUCGGCAAUCUUGGAGGGAUUUUCUCAAAUGCAGAUAUCAUUAAAUGGGGCCUUGACCAUCUUACUUGCCUUUCAGAGUUAGAAAUUGAAGGUGGUUAUCUGGUUAACAUGAUAAUGAAGAUGGAAGUGCCACUAUUACCCUCUACUCUUAUCUCCCUACACAUCUAUCAUCUUGAUGGUAUAAGACAUUUGGAUGGGAAAUGGCUUCAGAAUCUGACUUCUCUUGAAUGUCUUAAGAUCUCAUCUUGUGAUAGCUUGGAGUCAUUGCCACAAGAAGGAUUGCCUUCAUCUCUUUCGGUAUUGACUAUAGGGAGUUGUCCAUUGUUAGAAGCGAGUUGGUCUCACAUUUCUUCAAGGUUUCUACAUUCUAGAAUGGCCUAAAGUUGCUCACAUAGUCACAUUCCUUGCAUUAUUAUGGAUAAGAAGGUCAUCAUUUGAGUGUCUAGGUUGUAGCAAACUAUUUGUGAACCAUGCUUGUGGAGUUGGGGGAAACUUGCUGUAACUUGAUGCAGAGGAUAAUAUUCUCCAUCGGAUUUUGGUGUGUGCAUACCAUUUUUGUUUUGGAAAUAUGCAAACAUUUUUUCACUUGAUGUGGUAGUAUGUUAUAAAUUUAUGACAAAAUACAUGACUUGUAAGAGUUGUUUUAAUUAAGUUAAUUAAUCGACUGAUCUUUAUUAUUAGCAUCAAAGCAAAUAACAAUAGAAUCUUUGUAUGUAUUUGAUGGAAUAAUUUUCUUUCAUUUUUCGUUUUUUAAUUCACUUUCCUUCAUUGCGUAGGUUUUAGCAGAAAAUGCUUGAUUGCCACUACUUGAGGGGAAAAAAAUUAAUAACUUGUUAACUUAAUUGGCAGUGUUACUUGAUAAAGAGAAGCUCACAGCAUAUGGUGCAACCUCAUGCAGCCAAAUUCAGCUCAUGCAUGCAUGGUUGGCGUGACUAAAUUAAGUAGAUGAUAGUUGUAGAGUUAGUUAUUGUUACUUGCCACGUAGGAUCAGUUAGUUAGAGGCUAAGUUAGUUCACUUAGUUGUAGUUUGCUGCUAUAUAAGCCACGUGUAUCAGCUAGUUCUUAUUAAAACCACAGUAACUUUAUGUUUAAAACAUAAAGAAAUAAGAGAAAUUGUAUUGGAUUA